CUCUUAUCCCGAGUCGGUGGAGGGACAGGCCCAAUGAAACCCGGCAACCAACACUUCGUGUAAGUUUAUAUCUUCACGUUACAUAACAGUGAAAAGGUGCUAACCUGCAAGACUUGUGUCUUGAUCGAUAAGAG
rnacentral:ncRNA from 2 species